rnacentral:lncRNA from 1 species
UGCUGGUUUAUCAUAAUGUGUUAUUCAGCCUAGCUAAAUGAAACAAUCCCUAAGUCAGAAUUUGCGGUAAACCAGCAUGGAUGGAAUAAGCACAGACUCACAAGUAAGACAUUCACAUAAGCCGGGGGAGGCAGGGAGGUGCAGAGGAGGGAAGUUUCCUUGAUGGCAUCAGAAUAGGGAACAAUGGUUUAAAUGAGAUAGCAGACAUUCCCCGGGGAAACCCAAAGUCCUUCACACACCCAGGUGGUGCGUCCAUAAAAGUAUGCUGUUGGCCGCCACCAAGCCGAGGGGCUUCCACAUAGGUCAGCAGUUGUCAACACUGGGCUUUUAUGUUUGAAGGAAUCCAGAGGAGUCUGCACCCAGCCGGAAGUCCUAAGUCGUGCCCGAGCGAUGGCCCGACCUUCCAUGUACGAGAAACACCAUCUUCCGGGAAGACGCUUCCACCCUUCUGCUCCCAGGGGUUUGCUGAUGCAAACCCACAUGGGCCCACGGUGCCCACGUGCAAGCGCCCUGCGGUUCUGGUGAAGCAACUUUCCAAAUCCUGUGUUUCCAGCAGGAUAACGUGGGUGAUCGGGGCGGGGCGGGGGGGGGGAGGUGAGAAUUGGAAAAUUCACUCUUUAUCAAGGUUUCCGUCCCACAGCCCCGGGAAGACGGACCAAGAGCCUGAGGAGGCAGGACGCCCUGGAGGAAGUGGCUUGCCUGUCAGUUAUAAAAUGUGGAGGAAGAACCCCACACACGGCGUCUGAGACACCUCGCCUGGUGAGAGAUGGGACAGAGACGAGCCUACGUCCGAAGGCGAAGGGGGUGUUUCAUCCAAAGGAGGACACACAGUGCCCACUGGGGCACCAUGGGAUGGUGCCAUCUCCAGGACGCAGGUUCGAUUCCCGGCCCAGCACAGCGGGUUAAAGGAUCCGGCGCUGCGGCAGCAAUGGCUCAGGUGGCAACGACAGCUCAAAUCUGGUUCCUGGCCCAGGAACUCCAUGUGCCAUGGCACAACCAGAAAAGAAAAAACAAACAAGACAAAAAAAAUCUAAGGCUAUAUUUGUCUUGAGGGAUUUCUGAGCUUAUGUUUUCACGGCUAAAUUCUGACCACACAUCCACGCUAAACAGCAAUAAUUCAAGCCUGGGGCAUACACUUUGGUUUCUUUUUUAGGGGGGAGUUGGUUUUGGUUUUGGUUUUUUGUGGGGGUUUUUUGUAUUUUUUUUUUUUUCUUUUUAGGGCCACACCUGCAGCAUACAGAAGUUACCAGGCUAGCAGAGGAAUCAGAGCUGCAUCUGUGACCCACACCACAGCUCAUGGCAACCCCAGGUCCUUAACUCACUGAGCGAAGCCAGGGAUCAAACCAGCACCCUCACGGAUGCUUGUCCGACUCUUAACCUGCUAGGACACAACAGGAACUCCCUGGGGCGUAUACUUUGGGAAAAUGCUUUCUGUGGAUUCCACUCCAGCGGCUCAUGAUUCAAUCCGUGUAGGGGCAGGUGGCCAGAGCCCGACUCCAGUUCACAGCAUCCAUGGCCUCAUCCACCGUUUCCUCCUGACAGUUUAAGAUCUGUGUCCCU